rnacentral:rRNA from 1 species
UACGUAGGGUGCAAGCGUUGUCCGGAAUUAUUGGGCGUAAAGAGCUUGUAGGCGGUUUGUCGCGUCUGCUGUGAAAUUUCGGGGCUCAACCCCGAACUUGCAGUGGGUACGGGCAGACUAGAGUGUGGUAGGGGAGACUGGAAUUCCUGGUGUAGCGGUGAAAUGCGCAGAUAUCAGGAGGAACACCGGUGGCGAAGGCGGCCUGCUGGGCAGUAGCUGACGCUGAGGCGCGACAGCGUGGGGAGCAAACAGG